AUUGAACGCUGGCUGCAGGCCUAACACAUGCAAGUCGAACGAGUGGCGGACGGGUGAGUACUGUCUGUGAAACUGCCUGAUGGAGGGGGAUAACUACUGGAAACGAGCGCUAAUACCGCAUACCAUCGGAUGUACCGAGAUGGGAUUAUCUAGUUGGUGGGUUAAAUGAUCACCUAGGCGACGAUCCCUAGCUGGUCUUAGAGGAUGACCAGCCACACUGGAACUGAGACACGGUCCAGACCACUACGGGAGGCAGCAGUGGGGAAUAUUGCAAAAUGGGAGCAAGCCUGAUGCAGCCAUGCCGCGUGUAUGAAGAAGGCCUUAGGGUUGUAAAGUACUUUCAGCGGGGAGGCGUUACCCGCAGAAGAAGCACCGGCUAACUCCGUGCCAGCAGCCGCGGUAAUUC
rnacentral:rRNA from 1 species